rnacentral:rRNA from 1 species
UACGUAGGGAGCGAGCGUUGUCCGGAAUUACUGGGCGUAAAGGGCGCGUAGGCGGGAUUUUAAGUCAGGUGUGAAAACGUAGGGCUCAACUUUACGAUUGCACUUGAAACUGGAAUUCUUGAGGACAGGAGAGGAAAGUGGAAUUCCUAGUGUAGCGGUGAAAUGCGUAGAUAUUAGGAGGAACACCAGUGGCGAAGGCGACUUUCUGGACUGUAACUGACGCUGAGGCGCGAAAGCGUGGGGAGUGAACGGGAUUAGAUACCCCGGUAAUCCACGCUGUAAACGAUGGGUACUAGGUGUAGGAGGUGUCGACCCCUUCUGUGCCGGAGUUAACGCAAUAAGUACCCCGCCUGGGGAGUACGGCCGCAAGGUUGAA